UACGAAGGGGGCUAGCGUUGUUCGGAAUUAUUGGGCGUAAAGCGCGUGUAGGCGGCUUUGCAAGUCGGGUGUGAAAGCCCUCGGCUCAACCGAGGAAGUGCGCCCGUAAACUGCGAGAGCUUGAGUACCGGAGAGGGUGGCGGAAUUCCCCAAGUAGAGGUGAAAUUGUAGAUAUGGGGAGGAACACCGGUGCGAAGGCGGCGACCUGGUCCGAAUACUGACGCUGGAGGCGCGAAAGCGUGGGGAGCAAACAGGA
rnacentral:rRNA from 1 species